GACGAGCACACAUUUCUACAUAAUCUCGAGGAAACUUGCUCUGGAAUUCGCAAUGAUGACAAGCGAUGACUGCCCAUCAAGGGAAUUUGCAGUUCAACCCAUUCGCUGACUCGCACUGACCUCCAGCUCUAGAAGGGGGGUUAAAGAUCUCUGGAGCAGCUUUCUUUGCCGUUCGGAAGCGCGGUGGCGAAAUGCAUAUUUACAGAAGCGACCGUUUCGCAAGGUCAACGGCGAGCGAGUGGCUGUCGCCUGGUGAUAUUCGCGAUUGAAAUAUUCAACUGACAGGUUCAAUAACCGCCUCGAAAGAUUGCGAUUAAAACUGAAUACUUAGCCUCUA